AUGGCGGUCAAGUCUCUAGUUCUUCUCGGUGUCGUAAUAGCCUCGCUCCUGCUUCUCUCUCAGAAUGUAGCACAUGCUAGAGAGCUCCUUGAUGCUAAAGAGUCCAAGGAGAAGAAUGUAAAACCUGCAGGAGGGCCGGGCCUGAAGGACGAGAAAUGGGGAGGUGGAAGCAAGCAUUAUGGAGGGUAUGGUACACAAACAAUGGUGGUGGGUAUGGUGGAGGAUACAGAAAUUCUAGGCAUGGUGGCGGUUAUGGCGGUGGAGGUUAUGGACCCAGAUAUGGAGGCGGUUAUGGUCAUCCAGGCAACGGUGGGGGAUUUGGCGGCGGCUUUGGUGGAGGAUAUGGUGGUGGCGGUGGAUACGGUGGAAGUGGAUGAUACGGUGGUGGUGGCGGGUAUGGUGGAGGAGGAGGUUAUGGUGGAGGAUCCGGUGGUGCCGGCUAUCCUUGAGACGGCUAUGAUGAAGGAGGUCAUAAUGAAUGAGUAG
rnacentral:rRNA from 1 species